UAAGUUUGAUUUUGGCUUAUAGAUAGCGUACAAGAUGUGACUCAUGGGAUUUAUGAGAGUCCAGUGUAGAGAAUUAAAAAAUAAGGAAACUUAGCUUUAUAAUCUUUUUGUGGGGGGCUAAUAUUGUGCCAGCUGCCGCGGUUAUUCAAUAUCCUAAGCUAUUUUGUUCGGUGUGAUCAUAGAGGCGUAUACGUCAGUUUUUAAAAAUAAAUGUAGGUGGAAUUAAUUUAUUAUAAUAUUCUUAAACUGUUUUCUUAUUGGUGAAAAUGUAGAUAAAAACUAGGAUUAGAUACCCUAUUAUUCUACAUCAUAAAUGCUGCUAGGUUAUUAUGAAUAAAAUUUAAAAACAAAAAAAUUUGGCGGUCUUUUAUAUCUAGGGGAACUUGUUAUUUAAUUUGAUAAUCCACAAUUUAUCUCUUUUUUUAAUAGUAUGUGUAUUUCCGUUUUCAGUUUAUUUUUCAGAAUAUAGGAAAAAACAGGUAACUAAAAGUUUGAUCUCAGGUUAAAUGCAGUAAAUGAAAAAGUAUAUAUGAGUUACAUUAUUUAGAAAAAUAAUGAAUUGUAAAAGAUAUCGGACUUAGGAGUAAAAAAAAAGAGCAAGUAUUUUUGAAAAAAAUUAGGGAUGUACAUAUCGCCCGUCGCUCUCAAAUAAGAGAUAAGUCGUAACAAAGUAAGGGUAGUGGAAGCUGUUCUUAGA
rnacentral:ncRNA from 1 species